AGGUGAGUGGUUCCAGAGAAUACAAUAGAUCAUCCAAAUUAAACAAGUGCCUUAAAUUAUUACAACAUCAGGUUCGAAAUUCAAACAUAUUUUGCAGAGUUCUUAAGCAGCGGAAAUAAACGAACGGAAGCUAGCGCCGAUGUCGGAUGUCAUGACGAGGCCGAUCAUGACAUCAAUGGUCCCUGCCCUCACCGUCCGA
rnacentral:lncRNA from 1 species